rnacentral:rRNA from 1 species
CCUACGGGCGGCAGCAGUGAGGAAUAUUGGUCAAUGGUCGGGAGACUGAACCAGCCAAGCCGCGUGAGGGAGGAAGGUACAGCGUGUCGUAAACCUCUUUUGUCAGGGAACAAAUGCGGGGACGUGUCCCCGGAUGAGUGUACCCGGAAGAAAAGCAUCGGCUAACUCCGUGCCAGCAGCCGCGGUAAUACGGGGGAUGCGAGCGUUAUCCGGAUUUAUUGGGUUUAAAGGGUGCCCAGGCGGACUGUUAAGUCAGCGGUAAAAUCCCGGGGCUCAACCCCGUCCCGCCGUUGAAACUGGCAGUCUCGAGUUGGCGAGAAGUAUGCGGAAUGCGCGGUGUAGCGGUGAAAUGCAUAGAUAUCGCGCAGAACUCCGAUUGCGAAGGCAGCAUGCCGGCUCCACACUGACGCUGAGGCACGAAAGCGUGGGUAUCGAACAGGAUUAGAUACCCUAGUAGUC